GCUAUACCCCAGAAAAAUUAAAUUAGAAUCUUUGGGGUUGGACUCCAACAUCACCAGUAUUUUUUGACAGCCAAAUGUGCUGUCAAGGUUGAGAACUACUAUGUUAGGCUCAGUGCCCCAGAAUGUGAUUGUAUUUGGAGAUAAGGCAUUUACAGAGAUCACUGAGAUAAAAUGAAGUCUUAUGAGUGGGUCCUAAACCAAUAUGACUGAAAUUCUUAUAAUAAGAGAAGAUUAAGACACAGACAUGCACAGAGGAGAGACUAUAUAAAGACACAGAGAGAAGAUGGCCAUCUAGAAGCCAACACAUCAGAAUGUAAUUAGCCCUGCUAAGACCUCGAUCUUGGACUUUUCACCUCUAGAACUAGCAACAGACCCUUGACCAUAAACUCCAGCCUGUGUGCAGAUCUAGGUUCUGUCUUACACUUGAGGAGCCAUCUGCCUGAAGCUUAGAACUCUGGGGUGACCCUGUGGCCCUUUGGUAUCCUGGUUGGAGCCCAGCUGCAACUUAACUUCUUGAAGAUCUGUUUUAUAAAAAACCAGUGUGUGUACUGGCACAAGGCUUGGUAUUUACUUUUACCAAAACGUAAAACUCCACAUGCAGAUUGAGACACCUGGCUCUGCAGCAUCCAGGCUCAUUUACAAUACAAUUGCGCCUUCUACCAAGGUUGGCAUUGCCGGUGCAGCAACAUUCGUGUUCAUUGUUUUGAUUUGUCAUAAUGUCUGGCUGAAGAAGAAUGAGGUAAGAGAAUGACAAUUGAAGCUUGAACCCACUGCUUUUGAAACACAGCUUUGAGAAGAUGGCCUGGUCUCUGGCGCAUGAAACUAGGCCUCUGAAGAGAAGUUUCAUCUAUGAAAAAUUCACCCAACACAUAAAAUAUAACCCAUAUUAUUUAAAUCUCCCUUAAUCAAGUAUAAUAAAUACUCUACAAAAUUAGAGCAUGAUGAAAUUCAAGGUUGAAAAGUAAUGCAUUUGGUCACUUUUCAUUUUCUAUCCCAUUAUGGUGACUAUUGUGGAUGGGAGAAUAUUAAUUCCUCAGAAGCCAACAGUCCAUCAGUCCAAGAGACAACUUGGUGUUUGCUGCUAUAUGAUCAUGAACAGAAGGAUCUGCUUUCUGCUUGGAUGUUGGUGGGGCAUGUAAUCCUGGUCACAGCUACAAUAGCUUUUACUUUUCAACCCCUCACUGUUUGUAGAAGAUGGGAUUUAGUAUUUUGUUGGGGUAUCAGAGGUAACAUAAACUUUGAACUUACUUUUAAAAAGUGC